rnacentral:rRNA from 1 species
GGGCAAUGCGCUAUUGAGCGGCGAUGCCUGAUUAGCUAGUUGGUGAGGUAAAGGCUUACCAAGGCGACGAUCAGUAGCUGGUCUGAGAGGACGACCAGCCACACUGGGACUGAGACACGGCCCAGACUCCUACGGGAGGCAGCAGUGGGGAAUUUUGGACAAUGGGGGAAACCCUGAUCCAGCCAUGCCGCGUGAGUGAAGAAGGCCUUCGGGUUGUAAAGCUCUUUCAGCCGGAACGAAACGGUCACGGCUAAUACCUGUGACCACUGACGGUACCGGAAGAAGAAGCACCGGCUAACUACGUGCCAGCAGCCGCGGUAAUACGUAGGGUGCAAGCGUUAAUCGGAAUUACUGGGCGUAAAGCGUGCGCAGGCGGUUUUGUAAGUCAGAUGUGAAAUCCCCGGGCUUAACCUGGGAACUGCGUUUGAAACACAAAGGCUAGA